rnacentral:sRNA from 1 species
GAGGAGUCCGGAGCGAUGAAAGAAUGCGAAUUGUGCUGUGAAAUGGUGCCGGCCGGAGCAUUUUGUCAACUCAUUAAUUGUCGGCACGUGUAUUGCCGGAUUUGUAUUCGAAAGGUAGAGAAAUUGCCGGAAAAUUCAAAUUUUUUAGACAUUUUUGGUAUUUUUCAGUACAUGGAGCUAUCGAUUCUCGGAAAUCGUGUCGAAAUUCCGUGUCCCGGCGGAUGUCCGGCGGUUAUUCAUCCGAAUGACGUCACGUGAGUACUGUAGGGGUACUGUAGAUCUAUUGGAUACGGUAGGGUUACUGUAGGGAUACCGUUGGGGUUACUGUAGGGGUACUGUAAAGUCUAGUGGAGUACUGUAGGGGUACUGUAGAAUAUUGAAGGGUUGUUGUAGGUUACUGUAGAUCUAUAAGAUAUAGUGGGAUACUGUAGGAAUACUAUAGGGCUACUGUAGGGCAUGGUCGGGUUACUGUAGAUUUCAGUGCAGUAAUUCAUCGCUACUACAGGAUUACUGUAGGGCUACUGAAGAUUACGGUUGGAGUACUGUAGAUUGUAGGAUACUGGAGGAUUACGGUAGGGUUACUGUAGAUCGAUCGUAGGAUUCUAAAGAUUACCGUACAUCUGUUCUAGGAUACUUCGGAUUACUGUAGCCAAAUCCUAAGAUUCUAAAGGUUACUGUACCUCAAUCCUAGGAUACUUCGGGUUACUGUAGAUCGAUCCUGGGAUACUUCGCGUUACUGUAGAUCAAUUCUGGGUUACUGUAGGUUACUAUAGAUCUGUUCUAGGAUACGUUGGGUUACUGUAGUUCAAUCCUAGGCUUCUAUAGGUUGCUGUAGAUCGAUCCUAGGAUUCUGAAGACUACUGUAGAUCAACCAUAGACACUUCGGGUUACUGUAGAUCGAUCCUAGGACACUUCGGGUUACUGUACCCCAAUCCUAGGCACUUUAGGUUACUGUAGAUCAACUCUAGGAAUUUUGAGGUUACUGUAGCUCGAUCCUAGGACACUUCGGGUUACUGUAGAACAAUCCUGGGAUUCUAGGGGUUACUGUAACUCAAUCCUAUGAUACCUCGGGUUACUGUAACUAACUUCUGGGGUACUGUAGGGUUACUGUAACUCAAUCCAAGGAUAUUUCGGGUUACUGUAGAUCAAUUCUGGGGUACUGUAGGGUUACUGUAGCUCCAUUUUCCAGACGCUACCUGCUCCCAAACACGGACCUAAUCUCCAAAUACGAGUCAUUCAGCAUUCGAAUGGCCCUUUGCCGAAUCCAGGAUGUUCGAUGGUGCCCCGCACCGGAUUGCGGGUCAGUUUUGAUAUGCAAUCGCGCUCCACUGAACACAUUUUUUUGCAGAUUUGCCGUAAUCGUGCCCAAUGGUCAAAAGUGUCCGCGUAUCAAGUGCCAGCGGCCGGGCUGUGGCCGGGAAUUUUGCUUCAAGUGCCGAAAAGUGUGGCAUGAGGGAACCAGGACGUGCUCCAAGACUUUUGAACAGUUGAAGAAGAUUACGGAGAAUGG